AUUCCAUGUUUCCGUUUUUCGCUUGUGUUCGAUUUCUUUGAUGAUCCGCCGCCAUUUAUAAUUUUCUCUGAAGCGUUCAUGUGGUGUCUACGAAAUUGAGCUAAUUUUAUGCAGAAAUAACAGAAAAUCUUGCAUUAAUCGUUUUAAAGUAGUGAAAAACUGGCACCGCAAAGCUCCGCGGUUUGAUAAAUAUAUAUUCUAAAUAAAUUGUGCUGCGAUUUGUUCAGAAUUUGUUCAAUUGAAAUUGGUUGCAGAAGUUGGUGGAGUUUUUUUUCUGAAGUUGCAGUGAAAAAUUUUUUAUUCGAAAAAAUGAGUGAAUUUCCUGGAGCGCAAUCCAACUUAAAUCAAUCCCAAGCUUUUGCUGCCGCUCUACAACGUGCUAAGCAGAUUGCCGCAAAGAUACAACCGAACGCUGCACAAGGUAACGGAGGGGUACCCAACGCUGGGCCAUCACCAACAGCUGGCGUUGGCUUUAAACGUUCUCAUGAUGACAGCGAUUCGGGCCCGGAAAUGAAAAGAUUCACUAGUCCUGGCAAUGACUACAAUAAUUCGAAUGGUAGCAGCGUAGGUGGCGGCGGCGGCAGUAUUGCUGGCUCCGGAAAUAUUUCUCAAGCACUGGCGCAAGCCGCAGCAGUUGCACAACGUCUGGCGGCUACCGCCGGUACUACUGUUGAAGAGCAAAUACGCAUUCCAGAGCCGCUUGUGAAUGCUGUGUUAGGACGUGGCAGUACUGAGACAAUUACACAAAUACAGGCAGAAUCUGGCUGCAAAGUACAACUGUCACAAGAUCAAGAUCGCGUCGUAACUCUGCGUGGUUCGCGUGAGACUGUGACUAAAGGGCGUGAACUUUUUCAACAAUUGUCUAAUCGCAAUGGCGGGGGCAACAUUGAAGUGGUUUUGACAAUUAAUAUGCCACCACCUGGACCUACAGGUUUUCCUCCAUAUCAAGAAAUAAUGAUACCAGGCACAAAAGUAGGUUUGGUAAUUGGAAAAGGUGGCGAUACCAUCAAGCAAUUGCAGGAAAAAACGGGCGCUAAGAUGGUCAUCAUACAGGAUGGUCCAAAUCAGGAAAUAAUUAAACCUUUACGUAUAUCAGGCGAUCCUCAAAAGAUCGAACACGCCAAGCAAUCAGUAUUAGAUUUGAUAGCACAGAAAGAUUUGCAGGCAGCAGCUCUCGCUGCACGCAAUAAUGGCGGCAGUGUGCAGGGCACUGGAGGUGGUGGUAGUAGUGGAGGCUAUAAUUUUGGUAACCUCGGAGAACAGUGUGAAGUUUUUGUUCCGAAAAUAGCCGUUGGUGUAGUAAUCGGUAAAGGUGGUGAUAUGAUUCGCAAAAUACAAACUGAAUGCGGUUGUAAGCUGCAAUUCAUACAAGGCAAAAACGAUGAACCAGGCGAUAGACGAUGCCUUAUACAGGGUACGCGUCAGCAAGUUGAUGACGCCAAACGUAUGAUCGACGGACUCAUUGAGAAUAUGAUGCAACGACAACAGCGAAACGCCAGCAGCAGUAGUAAUGGUAAUACGGAGGGUAACAAUUCCAACUACGGUUACGGCUAUGGGGUAAAUCACGCACAGCAACCACCACGUGAGGAAAUAACAUUUAUGGUUCCUUCAUCAAAAUGCGGCAUUGUGAUUGGGCGCGGCGGUGAAACAAUAAAACUCAUAAAUCAGCAAUCCGGCGCCUACUGUGAAAUGGAUCGUAAUGCUGUUAACCCACCAUCUGAAAAGUUAUUCAAAUGCAAGGGUACAUCGGAACAAGUAGAAGCUGCGCGCCAAAUGAUUGCAGAAAAAAUAAAUAUGGAAUUGCCCAUAAUAGCACGUAAGCCCAUUAGUGGCAACAUUCCCGGUCAGCAUAACAACCAAGGUGGGGGAUAUGGCCAAAAUCCAAUGCAAAAUGAUCCAAACGCCGCGGCAGCAGCUUACCAACAGCAAUGGGGCGGGUAUGCCCAGGGAUGGGGCGAUCAAAGCCAGCAACAGCAAAUGAUGAUGGGUGGUGGUGCCAUGGGUCAAAACGUAGCAGCAGCAGCGGGGGGUGGACAGCAGGCAGACUACUCAGCUCAAUGGAUCGAAUAUUACAAAUCAAUGGGUAUGAUGCGCGAAGCAGAAAUGAUUGAGCAGCAAUUGAAGGCAAAGCAAGCUGGCGCCAAUGCUGGCCAACCAAUGGCGGUGCCACAACAGCAACAGGCACAACCGCCACAACAACAACAGCAGCCACAACCGCAACAGCAGCAGCAACAAGGGCAAGGGGGCGGUUCGGCUGAUUAUAGUGCCCAAUGGGCUGAAUACUACCGCAGCAUAGGAAAGAUUGCAGAAGCCGAAGCUAUUGAGAAACAAAUGAAGCAGGGACAGAGUGGACAGCCGAAUGCAGCAGGGGCUGCCGGUGGCAAUAGCAAUGCGCCAGCGGGAAGCAAUAGCAGCAGUGGAAAUAAUAGUGGCGCCGGUGCCGCUAAUAAUCCCGCUGAUGGCGGCAGCAAUGCAGCGUUACAAGGUAUGACACCUAGUCAAUAUGCACAGUAUUCCCAAUAUUAUGCUGCUGCUGCCGCCCAAGCAAGUCAAGCGGCAGGAGGUGCUGCACCCGGCUAUCCACAACAGGCGGCAUAUGGGGGCUAUGGCGCACCUGGAGGUGGUUAUCCAGGCGCGCCACAACCCAACAUGACGCCAGGUCCAAACGCCUCCAAUCCCAAACAAAAUAAAAGCGACAAAAAUUAAGAAUUAUAUAGUAUAAUUUAUAUGUAUGAGAGUGAGCCGCAGUAGCAGAGCAGUAGACGAUCGUAUGUAGGUGUAGCAGAAGUAGCCGUUUGGAAAAUUUGUUCACAACGAAGCAGUCAAAUUGGGAGGUCACAAUUGUCUCAAUUACUACUACUUCUACCACUACUACUACUACUCCUUAUCACUCACAGUAUCUGUGAAAAUGUGUUGGCGUGUGCGAGAUGGGUUAAAUUUAAUAUAUUAUGUAUUUUUAGCUUGUAAGCAUAAUUUAUAGGAACAUCAACACUAAAACAAGAAGAAAAAAAACAUGAAACGCCAACUACGCGUUUAUAGAUCAUGAGAUUUGAGUGCAUAUUUCACGAUAAAACGCGGUGUAUAGAAAAUUUCAAUAAAUGAAUGCAAUUGGAUAUUUCAAAAGUGACCAACCAAAUUUGAACGCGCAGCGCAGUAUUCACUAUUUCGCUUAAAUUUUGUAAAUUGCAAAAAAUUCAUAGCACAAAGUACAUACGCAUCUUAACCGAAAAGUUUUUCAAGUGUUGUAAAACUCUUAAUUAUGUUAAAAGAAAAAAGAAUUGUAGGAUGUGUUUAACUGAAAACGGAAACUUUUAAUAAUCAUAAAAUUAAUGGAAUGCGGAAAAUCUCUAAUUAAUGAUUUAGUGAACUAUGAACGCUGAUCAUAAUCUCUCCACAAAUAUAUUUCGAAAAACAAUUAAUUAAACUUGUAAAAUGUAUGCUUUAA